CGAUCGAUAUCAAGGGUGGUUACCCCAUUCGUGCAGUAAGCUUGUGAUCGAAAGGUACGCAAUUUAUACAACUCAUCGUCGUCCCAAUAAAACACGUACAAGCUUUUCCAUCUGUAACUACUCCUAAUCCCUACAGGAUUAGGAUAGUGAUCUAUCUGACCAGUGAUUUAGUGCUACAAGAAGGUCCAUAGGAGGAAUAUAUUCUAGUUCGAUUAUGUAAGUAGGUGUCGCAAAGAUGGAUGAAAAGAACGCUGGUACGAGAGGGUUCAAGGGCUUGAUAAUGAAAUGUCUGGAGAUCAAGACGAAGGAUAAGAUCCUGUUCAACCAUUCCAUCUGGAUGAAUGUGUACAAGCUGCACAUUGCCAUCUUGGGCUUCAAGUAGAUCACCGGAUCAGGUUGUGCGGAUGUGUUAUUAUAUAAAAUAAUUAAUGACAGCCAAGGAGAUGCAAGCAAGAAUGACAUCAAAGAUAAAGAGAUUGGAUCGAGGUGGAGGAGGAAGAGGUCUAGCAGGUGGUGGAGACAGCAGAGGCAAAGAUGGAGGAGUGAAGACGGAUCCCGCGGACCGAAUCGUGCAGUUCCUGAUGUUCAAGGUGCUCCAGGAAUGGUUCGUCAGCACAUCAAAAUAACGUAACGCACCCAGGUGGCAAUGUUCCAAACGUAACUUUAAGGAUAAGUACGAAAUAUGUUUAGAUUUAGUAACACUCGUUCAAAACAGUAAUGAUGUAUACCUUAAUC